UACGGGGGGGGCAAGCGUUGUUCGGAAUUACUGGGCGUAAAGGGCUCGUAGGCGGCCAACUAAGUCAAACGUGAAAUCCCUCGGCUUAACCGGGGAACUGCGUCUGAUACUGGAUGGCUUGAGUUUGGGAGAGGGAUGCGGAAUUCCAGGUGUAGCGGUGAAAUGCGUAGAUAUCUGGAGGAACACCGGUGGCGAAGGCGGCAUCCUGGACUGGUCCUGACACUCAUGAGCGAAAGCGUGGGGAGCGAUCCGG
rnacentral:rRNA from 1 species